rnacentral:hammerhead_ribozyme from 1 species
CUACUGCUGAGUCCAACAAUAGGACGAAACGGCCGUCCAGUGC